UACGUAGGGGGCAAGCGUUAUCCGGAAUUACUGGGUGUAAAGGGUGAGUAGGCGGCAUGGUAAGCCAGAUGCGAAAGCCUUGGGCUUAACCCGAGGAUUGCAUUUGGAACUAUCAAGCUAGAGUACAGGAGAGGAAAGCGGAAUUCCUAGUGUAGCGGUGAAAUGCGUAGAUAUUAGGAAGAACACCAGUGGCGAAGGCGGCUUUCUGGACUGAAACUGACGCUGAGGCACGAAAGCGUGGGGAGCGAACAGG
rnacentral:rRNA from 1 species